rnacentral:rRNA from 1 species
UAAACUAGGAUUAGAUACCCUAUUAUUUUAUAAGUUAACUGAUUAUACCAGGGUAGUAGUAGUUAUGUUCUUUAAACCUAAAGAAUUUGGCGGUGUUUUAGUCUAUUCAGAGGAAUUUGUCCCUUAAUCGAUAGUCCCCGAUUAAUUCUUUCUUAGGUUAGUUUUAGAUCAGUAUGUAUAUCGCCGUUAUAGGUUUAUUUUAUUAGAAUUAAUUUGCUUUAUUUUUUAUUGAAAGUUAUUUCAGGUCAAGGUGCAGCUAAUACUUAAGUGGAGAUGAAUUACAAUAUUAUUUUAAUAUAAUGGAUUUAUUUUUGAAAUAUUUUAAUGAAAGUGGAUUUGUUAGUAAUUUUGUUUAUGUUAAUUUUUUGAUUAUGGCUCUAAAAUAAGUACACAUCG